ACUUUUAAUAAUAGAUCUCUUAGUUCUAGUAUUAAUAAAGAACGCAGCGAAAUGCGAUAAGUAGUGUAAAUUGCAGAAUUUAGUGAAUUAUUAAAUCUUUAAACGCACAUUGCGCCCCUCUAGUAUUCUAUAGGGCAUGCCUAUUUAAGCGUUAUUUGUACCCUUAAGCUCUGCUUAGUGUUAGGUGUUUAUUCUACUUAGGACUUGCCUUAAAACAAUUGGUAGCUAGCAUAUUAGCCUAGAGCGUAGUAUAUUUUGCGCCUCUUGUUAUAGUUGUUAGCAUCUAUUAAGACACUUUUUAAGCUCUUAACCUUAGAUUAGGUAGGGAUACCCGCUAAACUUAAGUAUAUUAAUAAGCGGAGGAAAAGAAACUAAUAGGGAUUGCCCUAGUAACGGCGAGUGAAGCGGCAACAGCUUAAAUUUAAAAUCUAGCUCUUUUAGGGUCUAAGUUGUAAUUUGCAGAGGGCGCUUUAGCGUUAGCAGCAGUCUAAGUUCCUUAGAACAGGACGUUACAGAGGGUAAGAAUCCUGUACGUAGUCGCUGGCCUUCGCCGUGUAAAGCCCCUUUAACAAGUUAAGUUAUUUAGGAAUACAGCUCUAAAUAGGAGGUAAAUUUCUUCUAAAGCUAAAUACUAGCUAGAGACUAAUAGCGCACAAGUAAAGUAAUUAAAAGAUAAAAAGCACUUUAGAAAGAGAGUUAAAUAGCACGUGAAAUUGUUAAAAGGGAAGCGCUUGCAGCUAGACUUGCCUAUAGUUGCUUAUCUAGGCUUUUGUCUAGUGCACUCUUUUAUAGGCAGGCUAGUAUUAGUUUAGGUAGUUAGAUAAAGGUCUCUAUUACGUACCUCCCUUUAGGGAGGCCUUAUAGGGGAGAUAAUAUAUAACUAGCCUAGACUAAGGUCUAUGUAUCUGCUAGGAUACUAGCGUAAUAGCUAUAAGUAGCCUAUCUUAAAAUAUAGACUAAGGAGUCUAAUAUCUAUGCAAGUGUUUAGGUGUUAAGCCUAGACGCGUAAUAAAAGUAAACAGAGGUAGGACCCCUUUUAGGGUGCACUAUUAACUAAUCCUAAUAUCUUUAGAAGGAUUUAAGUAAGAGUAUAGCUAUUAGGACCUAAAAGAUAGUAAACUAUGCUUAAAUAGGGUAAAGCUAGAGGAAACUCUAGUAGAGGCUUAUAGUAGUUCUAACGUGCAAAUUAAUUGUUAAAUUUAGGUAUAGGGGCGAAAGACUAAUUAAACUAUCUAGUAGCUAGUUCCUGCUAAAGUUUCCCUUAGGAUAGUAGUAACAUAUUUAGUUUUAUAAGGUAAAGCAAAUAAUUAGAGGCCUAGGGGUUAAAACAACCUUUACCUAUUCUUAAACUUUAAAUAUAUAAGAAGUCCUUAUUACUUAAUUAAACAUAGACACUUAAAUGUACUAUUACUAGUAGGCUAAUUUUUAGUAAGUAGAACUAGCAAUAUAGGAUAAACUAAACGCAGGGUUAAGGUGCUAGAAUGCACGCUUAUUAGACACUAUAAAAGGUGUUAGUUUAUCUAGACAGCAGGAUAGUAGCUAUAGAAGUUAGAAUCUACUAAGGAGUGUGUAAUAACUUACCUGCUAAAUAAACUAGCCCUAAAAAUAGAUAGCGCUUAAGCGUGUUACCUAUACCCUGCUACUAGGGCAAGAUUUAAGCCCUAGCAAGUAGGCAGGCGUAGAGGCUUGUAACAAAGCCUUAGGGGUAACCCUAGGUAGAAUAGCCUCUAGUAUAGAUCUUAGUAGUAGUAGCAAAUACUUAAAUAAGAACUUUAAGGACUAAAGUAGAGAAAGGUUCUAUAUAAAUAGCAGUUAGACAUAGGUUAGUUAAUCCUAAGAGAUAGGGUAAUUCUAUUUUAAUAUUAGCGCUUGCGCCACGCCCUUAAAAGGGAAGCUAGUUAAUAUUCUAGCACCUAGAUAUAGAUUCUCCGCGGCAACGUAACUAAGAGCGGAGACCUUAGUAGGAGCCCUAAGAAGAGUUCUCUUUUCUUCUUAACAGUCUAUUACCCUAAAAUUAGUUUGUCUAGAGCUAGGGUUUAAUAGCUAGAAGAGCGCUAUACUUUUAUAGUGUUUAGUGCGCUCCUAAUAAGCCUUAAAAAUCUACUUAAAGAAAUAGUUUUUACGCUAGGUUAUACUUAUAACUAUAGUAGGUCUCUAAGGUGAAAAGCCUCUAGUUAAUAGAAUAAUGUAGAUAAGGGAAGUCAGCAAAAUAGAUCUGUAACUUUGGGAAAAGGAUUAGCUCUAAGGGUUAGGUACGUUAGGCCUUAGGGAGAAGCCUCUAGCGUAGAAGGGCACUAACUGCAAGGUAGGCGCCUCUUAGCGCUAGGGUGUAGACACCCUUAGCAGGUUUUAGCUAUCUAGCGUACGUUUAAUAACUAACUUAGAACUAGUAUAGAUAAGGGGAAUCUAACUAUCUAAUUAAAAUAUAGCAUUGCAAUAGCUAGAAAGUAGUAUUAAUAUAAUGUGAUUUCUGCCUAGUGCUCUAAAUAUUAAAGCAAAGAGAUUUAACUAAGCGUAGGUAAAUAGCAGGAGUAACUAUAACUCUCUUAAGGUAGCUAAAUGCCUUGUUAUCUAAUUAGUGACGCGCAUAAAUAGAUUAACAAGAUUCCUACUAUCCCUAUCUACUAUCUAGCGAAACUAUAGCUAAGGGAACAGGCUUAGCUAAAUUAGCGGGGAAAGAAGACCCUAUUAAGCUUAACUCUAGUUUAACAUUAUAAAAAGAUAUAGGGGGUGUAGAAUAGGUAGGAGCUUUAGCGCUAGUGAAAUACUACUACCCUUAUUGUUUUUUUACUUAUUUAAUAAAGCAGAGCUAGGCCUUACUACCUAACUUCUAGCGUUUAAGGUCCUUUAUAGGCUAAUCUAGGUUAAAGAUAUUAUUAGGUAGGGAGUUUAGCUACGGCAGCACAUCUAUUAAACUAUAACGUAGUGUGCCGUAGUAAGGGAUGUAUAGGAGAAAAAUAAGGCUUAGCCUAAAAGGUUAGGUAGAUUAAAUAGUAUAAAGGUAUAAAGGAUUAGAGGAUAGGAUAGGUAUAAUUCCUGCGGACUUUACUUUAACUCUAUAAUAUUAUCUUUUUACUUAUGUUUCUAUAUUAAACCUAUAUCCUCUACUAUAGGGUUACUACUAUUAAACCUUGCCCCUCCUACUUCUCCUUAUUUAAAUAGGUUACUCUCCCGGUUAGUUUAAAUGGCGAAGCCUAAGGGGAACUUAUCUUAUCUUAGUAAAGGGGAGGGCCUAGCAGCAUGCAACUAAGAGGACGUUUCUCUAAGUAUAAGGAGGGCAGAGAAAAAUUAAAAAAUAGGUGGUGUUAAUAAUUAACAUUGU
rnacentral:rRNA from 2 species